rnacentral:snRNA from 1 species
AGCCAUGUGGUGAGCACAAAGCGAACUAUUCUUUCGCCUUUUACUAAAGAAUACCGUGUGCUCUCCACGCUAAGUGGCAUACGCCUAUUUUUGGAGGGCUCUCACUUAACCGUGAGAC